UACGAAGGGGGCUAGCGUUGUUCGGAAUUACUGGGCGUAAAGCGCACGUAGGCGGAUUGUUAAGUCGGGGGUGAAAUCCCGGGGCUCAACCCCGGAACUGCCUUCGAUACUGGCGAUCUCGAGUCCGGAAGAGGUUAGUGGAAUUCCCAGUGUAGAGGUGAAAUUCGUAGAUAUUGGGAAGAACACCAGUGGCGAAGGCGGCUAACUGGUCCGGUACUGACGCUGAGGUGCGAAAGCAUGGGGAGCGAACAGG
rnacentral:rRNA from 1 species